rnacentral:misc_RNA from 1 species
ACGUUUCUCGACUCAAUACGAAGAUAGCUUCAACAUGAGGAUGAAAAAUACUCCUUCAUGAUUGCAAUGAUUACACAUGAAUAAAAUCGUUGAACACUGAAACCAAACAGGAGAAAUGACAGCAGUCCCUAAUGUAAUAUUUACUCAUCAUUUCUUUGCUGUUUGUGAAGUUGUGUGUGCUACAUGUAUAUACUGAUAUAUAACGUUACAGAUGCUUUGUCCAUCAUAUUUGUGAACUGUCAUUAUGAUAGCUAUUUUUUCAUUGUUUUAUCUUGUUUAUUGCAAAAUUGUGAAGGUUACAAUAUUGACUAUUCUAUGUUUGUAGAUUUUUAGCUCGGAUCCGACAGUAACCAAAGAAAUCGUGCUUCUCUUGACCCAGGAUGGCCUCUGUCCCCGUUGUGUACUGAGGUUCCUGGGGGCUGGAGAUGUUGGGCUAUUCAGAGCCACCUCAGAGGAACUGGCUCAGAAAGUGAAGUCCUUGGUGGAUGACCAGGAUGACAUAUUCUCUCCCCUCCCCUGUCCCGCCUGUCUGGGGAUUCUACAAGUUUACCUAGAGGAGGGAUUCCUAAACAGGGUCAGUGAUCUUGGUACCUCCAAACCUCCAAACUUUGUUUGUAAUGAGUGAAUCAGAGUGAAUGCUUUUGAAUGUUUGCCUUUGAAAGAAUAAGGCAAUUCAGCCGAAAGGUAAAUACCAAAAUUGUGAACUUACAGAAUAUUUAAAGCAAAUUAUUUACCAAGUGAUUCAAAUGAACUGAUGUUGAUCUGAAAAUAAAGACUGAAAUAUCAUGAUACCGGUACUUGAUAAUUUUUCCUCAGGUUGUGGAGGCGGUUAGAACCAGUGACCAUCAGUUCAAAAACUUCAUUUGUUCUCUAACUACGCCAGUCUGUUCACUGCUCAGAGAGCAUGCCAUAUUACUGCUGUUGAAAGAAAAAUUCAAGUCUCUGUACGAACACAGGGAGGUGGAGGAGAUAUCCUCAGUAAAAGAUGUCUGGAAAUGGAGAAGUGGCCCACUCCUGGCAGCAGCUCUAGAUGCUCCGUUCGAGCUCAAGAGCAAGUUUGACAUUAUUCUGAAUUUCACCUAUGAAAAGUCAGACAAAGAGUGCACGUUUCUGUCAUACCACAGUCCAGAAGUGUUCAGAAAAAGAAAGCAACAAAGGGUAUACAUGAAUCACUAAUGCUGCUUAUGUAUCGGUAGAUACUGUACCAAUUAUCAGAGAACUGUUUUAUGUAGUACAUGUAUAUAUCAAUUUAAUUAUUUACUGUCAGGAUAUAGAAAAUAUCUUUACAGAAAUAUGGUCUUUAAAUAAAGAAUUUACCUUCAAUUUUUAAAUUUAUUUUCAAUUUUAUGAUACAUAUAGCAAUCAUUUCAUAUCACAUAAUUAUGUUUUAUAAGCACUUAGAAUCCACAAUAUUAAAAAAGAAAUUACGAUCUAGAAGCAUCUGAUAUAUGAUAGUGUUAAUGAAGGUAAAUGUGUACUGUAUUUGAUUUGAACAUAUUUUAUUGUAUACAUAUAUAUAAGAUACUGUAGUAUACAAUGUAGUUAUAUAAUGAAUUGCUGAUUUUUGUUGUUGUUUUAUAGAGUUAUGGAGACACCUACACAAGGGCUAAUGUAGCUAGAGUUUUGUCCAAAAUGACAGAGGGGUAUUUCAAAAGAAACUACAGUCUUCCUAAGAGUAAUGAGACCAAUGUUUGUCUCUGUGAGGACAUCAGGUGUGUUCACGAUGCAGUCUUUGUGGCUGGUCGUUACAACAAGUACAGUCGCACUCUGAGCCAGACGCCAUGGAUUCUAGAUGGAGGAAGAAAAAGCGAAUCAUCGGUGGAGGAGGAAAUCUGUGGACCAUUGAAAAAGAAAUUUCUUUUUACAGAGCAACGAUUUUCUUCGUCUGGAAGAGAAGACGUUGAUGUCAGAAUGUUGGGGAAAGGUAUGUACUCUAGAGCUGAAACAAAAACCUCCACAUCAGGCUACCUAACCCUGUUCUUUGUGUAGACUGCAAUGAAUGCUGUCAUUUGUUUGUAGGGAGGCCAUUUGUAGUAGAGAUGGGUGACCCUCACCGAGUCCGACUCACGCCUGAAGAUCUGGCAGAAAUACAACAGGAAAUCAACAAAUCCGCUGAUGUGAAAGUCAGAGACUUACAGAUUGUUGAAAAGAAUGAUAUCAACAAGCUGAAGGAAGGAGAGAUCGAGAAAACAAAGACGUACUCCGCGCUGUGCUGGUCCAAGGAACCUCUGUCUCAGGAACAGCUCCAAAAGCUUCAGGAGGUCAAGGAUCUGGUAAUUUACCAGAAAACUCCAAUUCGUGUUCUUCAUCGUCGACCCUUAGCGACCAGGGAAAGAGUUGUGUACAGCAUGUCAGCAGAAAAAGUUGAUGACCUUCAUUUCACCUUGAACCUCUUAACUCAAGCUGGCACCUAUAUCAAGGAGUUUGUUCACGGGGACUUUGGGAGGACCACCCCAAACCUAGGGACGCUCACUGGUGUAGAAUGUGACAUUCUGGAGCUGGAUGUUCAGAGUGUUGAGCUGGACUGGCCGCCAAGUUUAGGAGACACUUGACAUGUUGUAAAAGUCCCAAAGAAAUAGGAAUAGAAGCUUGGACCUCAUACCAUGAGUUAUCCAUUUCUGAGCUAUUAUUGUUUUUGUUAUUGAAGUAAAUAUAAAAGCAAAUAAAACAGAAACAAUG